AUAUUGAAAGUUAGUUGGAAGUUGAUAGUAGGAGUGGGAGCAUUGAAGCGAUUUGUGGCGACGGUAUUAUUAUUACUAGUCUUUAUAUCAGGAUGUGGUAAUGAUAAAUAUGUGAAAGAAAUAGAUGAAGCAGUUAAAAUUCAAAAUCAAAAACAAGAACAACUUGCCAAAAAAGGCAACGGUGAUCGUGUUGAUCAUUUUGAACGCAAAGAUGCUAAUAUUUAUGUCUAUGAUAAGGAUAAAAUUAUCAUUUUAGCUUAUAAACCUUUGAGUAAUGAUGAUGAAGUGCAUUAUUAUGCAUAUGAUUUUAGUGAUAAACGUGUAUCAUAUAAGCAAGAUUUUGAUUCGAGACGAUAUUAUCAACAACAUGAUGCGGAUUAUCAUGAAGAAAAUAUGACGAACUAGAUAUGAAUAGGAGUUAUUAUGACUAAAAAAUUACUAACAUUAUUUAUAGUGAGCAUGUUAAUUUUAACAGCUUGCGGUAAAAAAGAAUCAGCAACGACAUCUUCGAAAAACGGCAAACCAUUAGUUGUCGUAUAUGGCGACUAUAAAUGUCCUUAUUGUAAAGAAUUAGAUGAAAAAGUCAUGCCAAAGUUGCGUAAAAAUUAUAUAGAUAAUCACAAAGUGGAAUACCAAUUUGUCAAUUUAGCUUUCUUAGGUAAAGACUCAAUUGUUGGUUCGCGUGCGAGUCAUGCAGUAUUGAUGUAUGCACCUAAAUCAUUUUUAGAUUUUCAAAAGCAAUUAUUUGCUGCCCAGCAAGAUGAAAAUAAAGAAUGGUUAACAAAAGAACUAUUAGAUAAACAUAUUAAACAACUGCAUUUAGAUAAAGAGACGGAAAAUAAAAUUAUAAAAGAUUACAAGACAAAAGAUAGCAAGUCUUGGAAAGCUGCAGAGAAAGAUAAAAAAAUAGCGAAAGAUAAUCAUAUAAAAACGACACCAACUGCAUUUAUUAAUGGCGAGAAAGUUGAAGAUCCAUAUGAUUAUGAAAGUUAUGAGAAGUUAUUAAAAGAUAAAAUCAAAUAG
rnacentral:misc_RNA from 1 species